rnacentral:rRNA from 1 species
CGAAGAACCUUACCAAGGUCUUGACAUCCGAUGCUAUUCUAGAGAUAGAAGUUACUUCGGUACAUCGGUGACAGGUGGUGCAUGGUUGUCGUCAGUCUCGUGUCGUGAGAUGUUGGGUUAAGUCCCGCAACGAGCGCAACCCCUAUUGUUAGUUGCCAUCAUUCAGUUGGGCACUCUAGCGAGACUGCCGGUAAUAAACCGGAGGAAGUGGGGAUGACGUCAAAUCAUCAUGCCCCUUAUGACCUGGGCUACACACGUGCUACAAUGGUUGGUACAACGAGUUGCGAGUCGGUGACGGCGAGCUAAUCUCUUAAAGCCAAUCUCAGUUCGGAUUGUAGGCUGCAACUCGCCUACAUGAAGUCGGAAUCGCUAGUAAUCGCGGAUCAGCACGCCGCGGUGAAUACCGGUUCCCGGGCCUU